rnacentral:rRNA from 1 species
AUUGAACGCUGGCGGCAGGCCUAACACAUGCAAGUCGAACGGUAACAGGAAGCAGCUUGCUGCUUUGCUGACGAGUGGCGGACGGGUGAGUAAUGUCUUGGAAACUGCCUGAUGGAGGGGGAUAACUACUGGAAACGGUAGCUAAUACCGCAUAACGUCGCAAGACCAAAGAGGGGGACCUUCGGGCCUCUUGCCAUCGGAUGUGCCCAGAUGGGAUUAGCUAGUAGGUGGGGUAACGGCUCACCUAGGCGACGAUCCCUAGCUGGUCUGAGAGGAUGACCAGCCAGACUGGAACUGAGACACGGUCCAGACUCCUACGGGAAGAAGCGGUGGGGAAUAUUGCACAAUGGGGGAGAGCCUGAUGCAGCAAUGCGGCGUGUAUGAAGAAGGCCUUCGGGUUGUAAAGUACUUUCAGCGGGGAGGAAGGGAGUAAAGUUAAUACCUUUGCUCAUUGACGUUACCCGCAGAAGAAGCACCGGCUAACUCCGUG